rnacentral:lncRNA from 1 species
CUCCGUUUUAAAUAUAGCCGUGUGUACAUGUCAAUCCUAACCUCCCUCCCUAACUCUCCCUCUCCCCCCUCUCCCCUGGUAACCCUAAGUUCAUUCUCUAAGUCUCUGGGUCUUUUUUGAUAAAGCCAUGCCUAGCCGAAAGGGAAGCCAAGGAAUGGUCAUCCUGACUGGAUCACCAAGUGCCUUGCUGACAUGUGUGGGUGGUGGUUUAACAGAAGAAAACAUGAGGAUGUGGAACAUAUAUUCCAGAAGAGGAUGACAGCAACGGAUGAACAUCUGGUGAGGAACACAGAAUCAUCAACAUGGCUUUCCUUUGCACAGAAACCAUUGCUGGGAAGUGAGCCCUUGUUAUACUUGAAGAUUUUCAGUGAAUGGACCUAACUGGACU